rnacentral:rRNA from 1 species
UACGUAGGUGGCAAGCGUUGUCCGGAAUUACUGGGUGUAAAGGGAGCGUAGGCGGUUUGGUAAGUUGAGUGUGAAAUCUACCGGCUUAACUGGUAGGCUGCGCUCAAAACUGCCAAACUUGAGUGAAGUAGAGGCAGGCGGAAUUCCCGGUGUAGCGGUGGAAUGCGUAGAUAUCGGGAGGAACACCAGUGGCGAAGGCGGCCUGCUGGGCUUUUACUGACGCUGAUGCUCGAAAGCAUGGGGAG